GGGAGCUGUCAAAAUUAGUAGGGACGUUCUGACAUUAGCUCUUGACAAUUUAAAAAUAAUCGGUUUUUUCUAGUGCCAUCUUUCAGUGACAUUGACAGUAUUGACACUUGUUGGUUUACAAAUACAAUAAAUGAAUUCUAAUAAAAGAAACAGUAGACUCAGUAGAGGUACGAGGUACUGAAAAAAUAUUAAUUAAUGGAGAAGCCGAAGUUGGAGGAAAACAAGAAGAUUCGAGGAGAAUGGUGUAGCACUUAAUGCCGCCGGGACAGUAACCUAGCUGCAGCUCCAACUCUAGGGAAUUGGGCUGAAUGAACGCAACACGUGAUCGACAGCCCACCUGCUUCCUGCCGAGCGUCCCUACACUACCUCUACAUGGAUGCCUCGCUUAUUCUGCUCUACAAAACUUCUGAGCUGAUACAAGCAGCCAGAAUGAGUCUCUGCUGAGUCGCCGGCGCCGGACGUGCGUCGCGCGCCUCGGGCGUCUGACGUCUUCGUGUCAGUCGCCAAUUGCAGGGGAAGAUACGAAUAGUUAGGUAUAAAAGCUACUUUAGUCAACCUCGCCUCAGUACUGUUUGUAUUGACUGAAAUACAAGUAGCAUAUAUGAGAUGUUCGGACGUAUCCGUGAAAAUACGAAGGUAAAGGAAAUUGCACUACAUUUUUAGAACCUAUCAGUAAAAUAUUGAAAAGGAAAGUUCAUGAGUUUUAUAAUUUUCUUUCCUCCAACAGCUUCACAUGGAGCAAAUGUAAACCUUUUAUGUUAAUAAUAUCAGUAAUGUCAAGGUACAACGCUCUUUAGAGCAUAUUGCCAUUCCUUUUACUCGAGCGGCCUGUGGGUUAACUAUACGAAGCGAGCCUACAAUGCAUUAAAAGUGCAGUAUAACAAUGCAUUCAGAAUGCUGUUGGGCUUACCUCGUAGAUGUAGUGCAUCUGGCAUGUUUUGCGAAGCUAGAAGUUUUCUGGCAAUCAUGCGCAAGAAAAUAGUAUCUCUGCUAGGUCGAGUUAGAAGCAGUCCCAAACAUACAUGUUCGAAAAGUAGAACUC